GACGAACGCUGGCGGCGUGCUUAACACAUGCAAGUCGAACGGAAAGGCCCUGCUUUUGUGGGGUGCUCGAGUGGCGAACGGGUGAGUAACACGUGAGUAACCUGCCCUUGACUUUGGGAUAACUUCAGGAAACUGGGGCUAAUACCGGAUAGGAGCUCCUUCUGCAUGGUGUGGGUUGGAAAGUUUCGGCGGUUGGGGAUGGACUCGCGGCUUAUCAGCUUGUUGGUGGGGUAGUGGCUUACCAAGGCUUUGACGGGUAGCCGGCCUGAGAGGGUGACCGGCCACAGUGGGACUGAGAUACGGCCCAGACUCCUACGGGAGGCAGCAGUGGGGAAUAUUGCACAAUGGGCGGAAGCCUGAUGCAGCAACGCCGCGUGCGGGAUGACGGCCUUCGGGUGGUAAACCGCUUUCGCCUGUGACGAAGCGUGAGUGACGGUAAUGGGUAAAGAAGCACCGGCUAACUACGUG
rnacentral:rRNA from 1 species